UACAGAGGUCCCGAGCGUUGUUCGGAUUCAUUGGGCGUAAAGGGUGCGUAGGUGGCGCUGUAAGUGGGGUGUGAAAUCCCGGGGCUUAACCCCGGGACUGCAUUCCAUACUGCGGUGCUUGAGGACUGGAGAGGAGACUGGAAUUUACGGUGUAGCAGUGAAAUGCGUAGAGAUCGUAAGGAAGACCAGUGGCGAAGGCGGGUCUCUGGACAGGUUCCUGACACUGAGGCACGAAGGCCAGGGGAGCAAACGGG
rnacentral:rRNA from 1 species